rnacentral:lncRNA from 1 species
GGUGGGGCAGGGACCCGGGGCGGCCUGGAGCGCUGUCAGGAGGAGCUGCCUGGGCCGGGCGCGCGCCUGGCGCUAGGUGUGGGGGCGCCGUAGGUGCCGGGGUGUGAGGCUGGACGGGGCGUCCGGGAUCGGCCGUGCCGGGGGUCGGUGCUGGCGCGCGGGGCCGGCGAGGGGGCGCAGCGUGGGUCGGGGCUCGGCGCGGGAAGGGGAUGCCUCUUACCCGGCCCCGGCCUCACCUGAUCGUAGACGUCCACUACGGAACUACAGCAGGUGUUCUGCCAGCAUUCGACUUGAAUGCCUUCCCUGACAGGGCGCUCACUCCACACAGCUCUGGCCUGAGACAGGCGUCGCACAGAACUCCCUGUCCUUCCAUUUCAUUGGAACUCGGGGGACACGGCAGCUGCUUUUGUGGGAGGGCUGAUCCGAGCCGCAGCGAGGGGUGGGCUGGGCACAUGGCACAGUGAGGCUCCUCCCGCCCCCAGAGCCCCAGCCUCAGAAGGAAUCUGCCAGGUGAUGGGGCUACCCCUCUGCGCAUUCCUGUGGUGGACCCCACUCCCUCAGAUGAUGCGGACGGGAAAGAUGCGCGGAGCCGAAGAGCGCCCUCUCUGGGGGUCUGGAUUGGAGCACCCAGCACCUGAGCUGGGUGAGAGACCCCUUGGGCUCUGGGGGAGUCCGAGUUGGCCGGCGGGGCGGCCGCUAGGGAGGAGCAGGGUAUGCUCAGCUUGAACCUCACAGAGAGGCUCUGACAACUCUGGAGAGCUCUCAAGCCACGGGCUGAUGGACAAUCGUGACCCUGACAACAUCUGGCCGCCCCAGGAUGCCCAUACCCUCACCCCACCUCCACCCCCACGGCUCUUGCCCAGGCCUUGCCAGAGGCCCUCUGCCUCCCAGCUUGUUUGCCUGCUCACUUACUAGCAGCAAGAGUACCUACUAGGCUGGCUCGAUGGGCAGUUGUCUCUGUCUUGGGAAAGUAGGGGCUGUGCUGGGUUCAUUCACUGGCCUCCCUCAAGCCAGCUCAAGGGCCUGGAGACAGGAGUCCUUCUCCUGGAGUGCUGCCCUCUCACCAGCUCUUCUCUACCAGUGAGUGUUGGCCUGGCCUGGAACCGCUUCCCACUGCUCAGAGCAUGCACUAUACAUUACUGCGUGGCCAGCCAGAAGAUGCGAAGCUCAUGGUGACCUUGGCAGGCAGACAGGUGGCAUCAGGAUGGUCUGGGCCUGCAGGGCCACCCUGUCCCUUCAGGUGGCUUCAUGGAGAGCACCAAGAAGUGUGAUCUCAGCAUUCAUGUGUGACCUGACCCACAUCCUUCCUGGUGCCUGAGGAUGCGAGGAGGCUGCUAUGCUGGGGCUGAGCCCUGCCAGGCGUCCUGCUUGCAUCCCUGCAGCUGGGGCUGAGGCUGUCCUGCAGGGAGGGCUGGUGGGCCCUGAGGCAGAAUCCCACUGCCACUUCAGAAAGUAGAGAAGAAGCCAGGUGUGGUGGGGCCAGUGGCCAUCUGCCGGGACUUCAGGGAGACCAGACACACAGGAAGAGGCACUUUCUCCAGACACCUCCUUUAGGGGCAGGGCACAAGGCCUGGAACAAGGCUGCCUCUGACCAGAGCAACAGAGCCUGCUCUGAGGAUGGCAGAGCCUAGAGCAGGCAAGCUGUCAAGAUUCUGGGUUGAGGGUCACAGGACAGGAGGCUGGACUCCCGCUGAUAUGAUUUGGGUUUGUGUCCCCACCCAAAUCUCAUGUUCAAUUGUAAUCCCCAGUGUUGGAGGUUGGAGGCGAUUGGAUCAUGGGG